UACGGAGGGUGCGAGCGUUGUCCGGAAUCAUUGGGCGUAAAGGGCGCGUAGGUGGCCCGGUCAGUUCGUGGUGAAAGCGCGGGGCUCAACCCUGCGUCGGCCAUGAAUACUGCCGCGGCUGGAGCACUGUAGAGGCAGGCGGAAUUCCGGGUGUAGCGGUGGAAUGCGUAGAGAUCCGGAAGAACACCAGUGGCGAAGGCGACUGACUGGACAAGUAUUGACGCUGAGGUGCGAAAGCGUGGGGAGCGAACAGG
rnacentral:rRNA from 1 species